rnacentral:rRNA from 1 species
UACGUAGGGGGCAAGCGUUGUCCGGAUUCAUUGGGCGUAAAGAGCGUGUAGGCGGCCAGGUAGGUCGGUUGUGAAAACUGGAGGCUCAACCUUCAGAGGUCGACCGAAACCAUCUGGCUGGAGUGUGGCAGAGGAGACUGGAAUUCCCGGUGUAGCAGUGAAAUGCGUAGAUAUCGGGAGGAAUACCGAUGGCGAAGGCAGGUCUCUGGGCUGACACUGACGCUCAUGCACGAAAGCGUGGGGAGCAAACAGG